rnacentral:rRNA from 1 species
UGUUCUUUAAAUAGGGACUAGUAUCAACGGCAUCACGAGGGUUACACUGUCUCCUUUCUCCAAUCAGUGAAACUGAUCUUCCCGUGAAGAAGCGGGAAUAUAAUCAUAAGACGAGAAGACCCCAUGGAGCUUUAAAUUUAUAGCAACUCAGUCAAACAAAUCCUUAUAAUCCACAGAGCCAUGCUUACUAAUUUUAGGUUGGGGUGACCGCGGAGUAAAAAUUAACCUCCACAACGAAAAGAACUAAAUCUUUAUCCAAGAGCUACGGCUCUAAGAAUUAGAACACUAACGACAAUGACCCGAUAAUCGAUCAACGGACCAAGUUACCCUGGGGAUAACAGCGCAAUCUACUUCGAGAGCUCAUAUCGACAAGUAGGCUUACGACCUCGAUGUUGGAUCAGGGCAUCCCAGUGGUGCAGCCGCUACUAAUGGUUCGUUUGUUCAACGAUUAAAGC